rnacentral:rRNA from 1 species
AAUUAGACCGGUAAAAUUUGGUGCUUGCCCCGGAUGGAGGAGUUGCGAACCGGGUGAGUAACGCGUAGGUACCCUCCCUCAUAGCGGGGGAUAAUUAUGGAAACGAUAGUUAAUUCCGCAUAACAGUCUUUUAAUUCAUGUUAGAGGCUUGAAAGGGGCAAUUGCUUCACUAUGAGAUGGACCUGCGUUGUAUUAGCUAGUUGGUGAGGUAACGGCUCACCAAGGCGACGAUACAUAGCCGACCUGAGAGGGUGAUCGGCCACACUGGGACUGAGACACGGCCCAGACUCCUACGGGAGGCAGCAGUAGGGAAUCUUCGGCAAUGGGGGCAACCCUGACCGAGCAACGCCGCGUGAGUGAAGAAGGUUUUCGGAUCGUAAAGCUCUGUUGUAAGAGAAGAACGUGUGUGAGAGUGGAAAGUUCACACAGUGACGGUAUCUUACCAGAAGGGGACGGCUAACUACGUGCCAGCAGCCGCGGUAAUACGUAGGUCCCGAGCGUUGUCCGGAUUUAUUGGGCGUAAAGCGAGCGCAGGCGGUUUGAUAAGUCUGAAGUUAAAGGCUGUGGCUCAACCAUAGUACGCUUUGGAAACUGUCAAACUUGAGUGCGGAAGGGGAGAGUGGAAUUCCAUGUGUAGCGGUGAAAUGCGUAGAUAUAUGGAGGAACACCGGUGGCGAAAGCGGCUCUCUGGUCUGUAACUGACGCUGAGGCUCGAAAGCGUGGGUAGCGAACAGGAUUAGAUACCCUGGUAGUCCACGCCGUAAACGAUGAGUGCUAGAUGUUAGGCCCUUUCCGGGGCUUAGUGCCGCAGCUAACGCAU